rnacentral:rRNA from 2 species
CCUGCCAGUAGUCAUAUGCUUGUCUCAAAGAUUAAGCCAUGCAUGUCUCAGUACAAGCCAAAUUAAGGUGAAACCGCGAAAGGCUCAUUAAAUCAGUUAUGGUUCCUUAGAUCGUACCCACAUUUACUUGGAUAACUGUGGUAAUUCUAGAGCUAAUACAUGCAAACAGAGCUCCGACCGGAGACGGAAGGAGUGCUUUUAUUAGAACAAAACCAAUCGGCGGCGUGUUCGCUUGCGUUCACGUUCGCCGCCCAACUUGGUGACUCUGAAUAACUUUAUGCUGAUCGCACGGUCUUGCACCGGCGACGCAUCUUUCAAAUGUCUGCCUUAUCAACUGUCGAUGGUAGGAUCUGCGCCUACCAUGGUUGUAACGGGUAACGGGGAAUCAGGGUUCGAUUCCGGAGAGGGAGCCUGAGAAACGGCUACCACAUCCAAGGAAGGCAGCAGGCGCGCAAAUUACCCACUCCCGGCACGGGGAGGUAGUGACGAAAAAUAACGAUACGGGACUCAUCCGAGGCCCCGUAAUCGGAAUGAGUACACUUUAAAUCCUUUAACGAGGAUCAAUUGGAGGGCAAGUCUGGUGCCAGCAGCC